rnacentral:rRNA from 1 species
GAGUUUGAUCUUGGCUCAGAACGAACGCUGGCGGCAGGCCUCAAACAUGCAAGUCUAGGGGGUGUAGCAAUACAUCACCGGCGGACGGGUGCGUAACACGUGGGAAUGUACCUAUUGGUUCGGAACAACGCAGGGAAACUUGCGCUAAUACCGGAUGAGCCCUUCGGGGGAAAGAUUUAUCGCCAAUGGAUCAGCCCGCGUCCGAUUAGCUAGUUGGUGGGGUAACGGCCCACCAAGGCGACGAUCGGUAGCUGUUCUGAGAGGAAGAUCAGCCACACUGGGACUGAGACACGGCCCAGACUCCUACGGGAGGCAGCAGUUGGGAAUCUUGGACAAUGGGGGAAACCCUGAUCCAGCCAUGCCGCGUGAGUGAUGAAGGCC